rnacentral:lncRNA from 1 species
GUGAUUUUCAAAAGGGUGCCACUGGAUUUUUUCUUGAAAACCCCAAUGUUUCCUGAUGCAUGUUGUUGUGGGAGAUAUGCUUCCAUUCUCCUAUGACCAGGGAUUUGUAUUCAGCUUGGCACAGAAUGGGUUGGUCGCCUGUAAGGAAUAUGAAGUAGCACGUGUUCUUUCUGCUCAAUGGACAGGUAGAUCAUCACGUAGGACAUGUGAGUCUGUAAAAGAGUACAUGUAAGAGGUUACGGCUGCAUGUUGCCUAAUACAAGUUAUUGAGUUGAAGUUGCAUUUAUUAAUUUUAAAAUAUGGAAGGAAGUAUGGUGUUUGGUCCACUUGA